CCUCUGGUCAUGGCCGCCCGGGCCGCCUAUAUGAGCGGCGUCACCUCGGUGACUAUGGCGAUAAACGCCGUGUGGAAUAAGUGUUGCGGACCCGGGGGCAGUGCCCGGCGUCUCCACCAAUAUGCUCAGGCCCUUUAUCGGGGGCGGCGGAUGGGGACGACACAGGCUCGACGCGCACGGUAAAGACACGGUUUUUGCCCGGCAUUGUACCGCCGUUAUCGGGCUAAAUCACAAGUGCCAACGAUAACAGCCGUGAGGCUGUGGCGCUCGCUGCCUAAUAGGUAAGCGCGGUUCGGGGGGCACCGGGCAACAGAAGCCCCCCACU
rnacentral:tmRNA from 1 species